AAAGCUGCCAAGUUGAAAAUGGACGAGUAAUCGCCUGCUUUGAUUCAUUGAAAGCCAGAGCCACGCAUUUUAUGGAAAAUGUAACUAGAAGUAAGGUGCUGAACUGCUGCUACAGCACCUUACCUGAGGCACAAACUUUGUUGCAUACAGUUGAUGGUGCACUCGUAGCUGCAAAAUGAAGGACAUUAAAUUUGGCUGUGACAUUGAGUGGUUACACAGAAGACCUGCUUCUACAACAUUUGGAAACAUUGUGAAACAUUACUAUUCAGUUGCUAUUUUUCCAUCUCAAAAUAUUUUUUUUUAGUUGCUGCUCACUUAUGGCCACAGAACAGUCCCUUUUUGAGUAAAGCAGCAAGGUUGCUUAAUGACAUGCUAUGUGGUUAACAAGAUUCAACUGCCACAUCAAGGACUUUAAAUAAUUUCAAGAUUUUAAAUGUAUUUAUGAAAUGAACUCAUUACAGCAGCUAAUCAAUGCAAACUUUGUCCUUUUUCUUUGUCUUUCUAAGAGAAACUGAAUUUAAUUUAAAUUUAAAUUACAGUGUCUAAAACUUGGUAAAAUAUUUUAAAUUUGAAUAAGAGGAAAAAAAAAACAUGAAUUUAUUUAUGAUGGAGCUUCAUACCCAGGACAGUAGCUUCUUAAAUGUUAGUAAAAUAAUUAUGUUAAGCAUUAAAACAAUUUUGAAUAUGUAAUUAAGCAUUUAUGUUAAAAAACAUGUUUCUUACGUGUGUGUGUAUAUAUUUAUAACUGACACAUGUGAUUCUUUGUACAGUAUUUAGAAUCCUUCCCUUCAGAUAGCAGUCCUCUUGUAUUCAGUCUUGUGGCUAAAAUAGAUCAAAAACAUAUUUUAAAACUGUUAAAGUAACUGUAUGACUCAUGCUUGAAGUUCUGAAAUUUGGGAGCGUUAUGAGGUUUCCAUGCCAUUAACCGCUAGAUCAUUUGCAUUCUCUCACAGAGUAAACGGAAAAAAAUUUAGAAAACUUGUAAUAAUCCUGACUUCUUUAAUAAAAUGUGUCCUGUGUAUUGC
rnacentral:lncRNA from 1 species